UACGUAGGGUGCAAGCGUUAAUCGGAAUUACUGGGCGUAAAGGGUGCGCAGGCGGUUUGCCAAGCUUGAUGUGAAAGCCCCGGGCUUAACCUGGGACGUGCAUUGAGAACUGGUAGACUAGAGUACGUUAGAGGGGGGUGGAAUUCCACGUGUAGCAGUGAAAUGCGUAGAUAUGUGGAGGAACACCGAUGGCGAAGGCAGCCCCCUGGGAUGAUACUGACGCUCAAGCACGAAAGCGUGGGUAGCAAACAGG
rnacentral:rRNA from 1 species